rnacentral:rRNA from 1 species
GUGAGGAAUUUUCCGCAAUGGGCGAAAGCCUGACGGAGCAAUGCCGCGUGAAGGAUGAAGGCCUAUGGGUUGUAAACUUCUUUUCUCAGAAAAGAAUUAUGACGGUAUCUGAGGAAUAAGCAUCGGCUAACUCUGUGCCAGCAGCCGCGGUAAGACAGAGGAUGCAAGCGUUAUCCGGAAUGAUUGGGCGUAAAGCGUCUGUAGGUUGUUUAAAAAGUAUUCUGUCAAAGAUUAGGGCUUAACCCUAGAUAGGCAGAAUAAACUUUUAAGCUAGAGUUUGGUAGAGGCAGAGGGAAUUCCCGGUGGAGCGGUGAAAUGCGUAGAUAUCGGGAGGAACACCAAAGGCGAAGGCACUCUGCUGGGCCAAUACUAACACUGAGAGACGAAAGCGAGGGGAGCAAAUGGGAUUAGAAACCCCGGUUAGUCC